UGCUGUGGGUGAUGAGACUAUAAAUUUACAGUUAUCCCUGUCUGACUUAGUGCUGACAAUUUGUAGUCUGACACAGUU